GGAACAUAUUCUGUCUCCAGAGCAGAACUGCCUCUUGUUUUUCUACCUCAGCCAUGACCAGAUCUGUGAGCAAAGAAGCAGAGAAGCAGCGUGUAGAAGUUCCCAGGCCAGGGAACAGCAGCAGCCACAGCAGUGACAACACUGGAUCCUUAACCUUCUGUGCCACAAGGGAAUUCCCAGCGAGCAUUCUGAGAGCCAGCUGUUGAGCGCUGCCCCAGUGGGGCGCUCAAUGGGGAGGAAGAUGGAUCGGGCUGGAUUGGACAUUGAAGCCACGUGCGCAAGGAGUGUGGCCUCCGGCCUGUGUGCAACAGGAAGAAGUCAGCCUGUUGGCGUUUGGCAGAGGCAGACAGGACAGAGAGAAGAAUGGAAGGACAGGACACCAGCAGGAGGCGGUAUAAAAGGAUAAAAGAGCAUUGGCAGACGACCUCCUGGCCCUGGGGGUGGAGCGGUCAUGUCUCUGGACCUGCUUCUUGGGUCCCGGAGGGUCCAAAGAAAUGACUCACCUCUACCACCUCCACCCACCAGUGCAUCUCAGCCGGACACGCAAUUCGCUCCCCCACGCAAAGCAGUAACGGGGGGGCGAGCUUUCCAAAGGUGCUGCCCCAGCUCAGCCUCCCUCCUUGGCACAGAGCUGGCCUGCGAGACCCCCGGUAAAUGACUGUUAGUGGACGAAUUCAUGAACGAACGUAAAACCCCAUCUCUAAGGCAGCCCCGAUUCUCCCCCGCGGCCAGCAUCCAUCUGCGAGGAAUCGGGCGUGUAUGUCUGAGCAGGGACCCCGGCUGGGAGCUGGGAGGGACUUUCUGGCCAGUGUGCAGGACCAGGGAGCAUGCGUCUGGCAGGGCCUCUCAACCACGGCUGGUGGUGGGGGCAGGGACUGGCCAGAAUCAUGGUGUAAAAUUUAAAACACAACCUUGACCCCAAGGAGUAAAGGAGGGGGCUGAGACAGCGGGACCCUCCCAUUGGGGCAGACGGCCCAGGGCCACUCCCAUAGAGGGAUCGAGCAGCGUCUAGGGAGUCCCAUGGGGUCGUCCCCACCCCACCCCAAUACAUCUGGGACCACCCAGGGAGCCAAGGAUGGCUUCUACAAUCCAGAAAUUCCUCAGUUCCCAGACCACUGGGGACCAUCGCCGUCUGCCUCUCCCUCCUCCCAGAGCGAGGACCUCUCUGCUGGCCUCACGGGGCCUUUCCUCGUUGGCAUCUGCUGGGGUGGCCCCUAGUUUUCCAGCCAUGGGGCUUCCAGGGUCUCAGAGGCUCCGCACAGAAACCCCAGCCCAAUUUCCCAGACCGUGCAGUGGUCUUCUCGAGACCCUUGAGCGGGGAGGACACCAUGAGUUUUGGGCUUUGCAGAGCCAUGUUUGAAAAGCCACCACUUAGAGCUAAGCGACCUUGGAGAAGUCAGACUCCCAGGACUGAGGUGUCCUGUCUAUUCAGAGGAGGAGAUGACACCUGCUCCCCUCACCCCCACGCUGACACACCCACCGCAGGGAAGGGAGACAGGCUGGCAGCACCUGACAAAGUGCUCCCCUGUCCCGGCCCCCAGAGCCCCCACCCCACCUGCUCUGUGGCCUGCUGAGCCCACCUUCUCAGCCCCCAACUAGGACCUGGGGCCUGACAAAGGAUUUCUGGGCUCCUGCUUAGAGGUACAAGUGAAGCCAGACUGAGAGCCCCUGACAAACACAUGAACCAAUGCCACCCUGACCCCAGGGGCUGGCCCCCCGGCCUCCCCUGUCCCCGAGCCGUGAUCCUGACACGCGAUCCUGGACACAGCGACGCCAGGGCGCAGCACAGCGUCAGGGCAACAGCAGCCCCUGAAGAGAACCCAGCCCAGCGCCACCGACCCCAGGAGCAAAGUAAUGCCUGGAAGAAUGGCACUGAACACUCAACAGACCCUCCAGGCUCUCAGUUCCACGGAAUCAUGCCAGCUUCCUUGUGAUUUUAUCGGAAAGGUGGGCAGUUUGGCUCCACCGCGACCCACAGGGCAACAUCUUCUGGGUAUCUAUUCUGCUGCAGUGAAAAGGAAGCCCUUCCUUUGGAAAACAGUAAGAAAGGUGGAUAAUUAGCGCACGCUGGUUAAUGGAUCAUUUCAGAGGGGUGAGCCGGGGUCAAGACACCAUUCUGCAUAUAUUUGCAUUGAGCUGAACUUCUUUCCCCUUCUCUUCGGUGAUUUUUUUUUUUUUUUCCUAUUGUAACGUCAUUAGCUUCAUUGAGAUCUAAGGAAAACAAAGAGGGUCCAUGGGAGAAACGGCUUCCGGGGAGGCUGUGGAUGCUGGGCUCCCCCCCGCACCUCCCCAGACAGCCUCCAGGCCGCCAGGGGCCCGGCCUCCGCCUCCGCUGGCUUCUGCCCUCCCUCUGCCAGGCACGCAAGCAGGUGGGCUGUGUGUGCACUUGUCUUCGUUUCAUUUGUUCCCCCUGUUGCAGAGGACAGGAGCCCAGGCGUUCCGGACUGUUAUUCCUAUUGGCUGCUGUCAACCAGGACAGUGGCCUCGGAGUGACCAGCCCAGAGGAAGAAGAGGCUGCGGCAGGCCCUGCCCUCCGGGG
rnacentral:lncRNA from 1 species